UCAUUCUCUUCGACUCUAUCAGGUAAGGUCAUUCAAUGUAUCGCCUUUUUUGUUUUCUAUGAACUGGGUGAGUCUUCCUUUUGUGAUUCCUCUACUGUGAAUUGAUUAGGGUUUAGUUAUUCAGUCGUGUAUGAAAGGGGAAGGUUGUGGUUCAUCUUUACUCGCACCAAUAGCAGCACUGAGCGGCCACAGAUUGAUUGAAAGGGCAGCCCCCUUAAAUUUAAUGAUUGUUGAAGAUGUUCAGCUGUGUGUUUGCUGUAAAUUCCUAAUUGCAAUUUGUAGUGACCUGAUUUGUUUGAACAGAGAGCUAAGGUCACUUUCUAUCUAGUGAAUGGGAGGCUACUAGAAUCGAAGCAUUGCACUGGAUUUCCAACCUUCUAAACAGACAUCGUAUUGAGGGCUGAAGGAAGCACCAUCAAAGGGAAGCACUUUCACUUGGACAAAUAAUCAGGAUCCAGGGUAUUGACAAAUAACUUAUUUUAUGAAUGAAGCCUACGCAUUAUGAAGAACAAGGUGUGUAAUAAAGUAUAUUCUUAUAAUAGAAUUUGAACCAUUAUAAUUGAAUAAUUUCCUGACUUUGGUGAUGAAUAUAUAUAUAUA